GGGGAAUUUUGCGCAAUGGGGGAAACCCUGACGCAGCAACGCCGCGUGCGGGACGAAGGCCUUCGGGUUGUAAACCGCUUUCAGCAGGGAAUAUAGUGAAGGUACCUGCAGAAGAAGCUCCGGCUAACUACGUGCCAGCAGCCGCGGUAAUACGUAGGGAGCGAGCGUUAUCCGGAUUCAUUGGGCGUAAAGCGCGCGUAGGCGGCCCGUCAAGCGGGGUUUCAAAUCCAGAGGCUCAACCUCUGGCCGGACCCCGAACUGGCGGGCUCGAGUGCGGUAGAGGAAGGUGGAAUUCCCAGUGUAGCGGUGAAAUGCGCAGAUAUUGGGAAGAACACCGAUGGCGAAGGCAGCCUUCUGGGCCGCCACUGACGCUGAGGCGCGAAAGCUAGGGGAGCGAAC
rnacentral:rRNA from 1 species